CCUACGGGGUGCUGCAGUGGGGAAUAUUGGACAAUGGGCGAAAGCCUGAUCCAGCCAUGCCGCGUGUGUGAAGAAGGCCUUCGGGUUGUAAAGCACUUUCAGUGGGGAAGAAAGCCUUGGGGCUAAUACCCUCGAGGAAGGACAUCACCCACAGAAGAAGCACCGGCUAACUCCGUGCCAGCAGCCGCGGUAAUACGGAGGGUGCGAGCGUUAAUCGGAAUUACUGGGCGUAAAGCGCGCGUAGGCGGUCUGAUAAGCCGGUUGUGAAAGCCCCGGGCUCAACCUGGGAACGGCAUCCGGAACUGUCAGGCUAGAGUGCAGGAGAGGAAGGUAGAAUUCCCGGUGUAGCGGUGAAAUGCGUAGAGAUCGGGAGGAGUACCAGUGGCGAAGGCGGCCUUCUGGACUGACACUGACGCUGAGGUGCGAAAGCGUGGGUAGCAAACAGGAUUAGAUACCCCUGUAGUC
rnacentral:rRNA from 1 species